UGAGGAAUAUUGGGCAAUGCCCGCAAGGGUGACCCAGCAACGCCGCGUGGAGGAUGAAUGUCGUAAGAUUGUAAACUCCUGUUAGAGGGGAAGAAUAGUACCGGAUGGACCGGUAUAUGACUGUACCCUCAGAGAAAGCCCCGGCUAACUACGUGCCAGCAGACGCGGUAAUACGUAGGGGGCAAGCGUUGUCCGGAUUUACUGGGUGUAAAGGGCGCGCCGGCGGGAUAAAAAGUCAGUGGUGAAAUCCUGCAGCUUAACUGUAGAACUGCCUUUGAUACUUUUAUUCUUGAGUUCGGGAGAGAGAGACGGAAUUCCAGGUGUAGUGGUGAAAUACGUAGAUAUCUGGAAGAACACCAGUUGCGAAGGCGGUCUCUUGGUCCGACACUGACGCUGAGGCGCGAAAGCGUGGGGAGCAAACA
rnacentral:rRNA from 1 species